rnacentral:rRNA from 2 species
UGCAAGUCGAGCGGCAGCACGGGUACUUGUACCUGGUGGCGAGCGGCGGACGGGUGAGUAAUGCCUAGGAAUCUGCCUGGUAGUGGGGGAUAACGCUCGGAAACGGACGCUAAUACCGCAUACGUCCUACGGGAGAAAGCAGGGGACCUUCGGGCCUUGCGCUAUCAGAUGAGCCUAGGUCGGAUUAGCUAGUUGGUGAGGUAAUGGCUCACCAAGGCGACGAUCCGUAACUGGUCUGAGAGGAUGAUCAGUCACACUGGAACUGAGACACGGUCCAGACUCCUACGGGAGGCAGCAGUGGGGAAUAUUGGACAAUGGGCGAAAGCCUGAUCCAGCCAUGCCGCGUGUGUGAAGAAGGUCUUCGGAUUGUAAAGCACUUUAAGUUGGGAGGAAGGGCAGUUACCUAAUACGUAUCUGUUUUGACGUUACCGACAGAAUAAGCACCGGCUAACUCUGUGCCAGCAGCCGCGGUAAUACAGAGGGUGCAAGCGUUAAUCGGAAUUACUGGGCGUAAAGCGCGCGUAGGUGGUUCGUUAAGUUGGAUGUGAAAUCCCCGGGCUCAACCUGGGAACUGCAUUCAAAACUGACGAGCUAGAGUAUGGUAGAGGGUGGUGGAAUUUCCUGUGUAGCGGUGAAAUGCGUAGAUAUAGGAAGGAACACCAGUGGCGAAGGCGACCACCUGGACUGAUACUGACACUGAGGUGCGAAAGCGUGGGGGAGCAAACAGGAUUAGAUACCCUGGUAGUCCACGCCGUAAACGAUGUCAACUAGCCGUUGGGAGCCUUGAGCUCUUUAUGGCGCACCUAACGCAUUAAUUUGACCGCCUGGGGAGUACGGCCGCACGGUUAAAACUCAAAUGAAUUGACGGGGGCCCGCACAAACCGGUGGAGCAUGUGGUUUAAUUCCAAACAA